AUGGCGCUUACAAAGUGUUCAUUGGGAUAUUUGUGUUUAUCUCAAUCUGGGACGACCGUGACCCUCCUGGAGUCCGGGGGGGACCUCCAGCCCCCCGGGGCCCUCCUGGCCCUCGUGUGCCGCGCCUCCGGGUUCAAUUUUGGGAGUCACGGAAUGUCCUGGAUCCGCCAGAGCCCGGGGAAGACUCUGGAAUUCGUCGCAGGGAUGAACUCCAACGGUGACAGCACCGGCUACGCACCGUCGGUGCGGCACCGGUUCUCUAUCUCCAGGGACAACGGGCAGAGCUCGGUGACGCUGACCAUGAACAGCCUCAAGGACGAGGAUUCCGCCGUUUAUUUCUGUGCCAAAAAUGCUGAUGGUGGCUGGGGCAGUGCUAUUGCUGGUUUUGGUGGUUGUGGUGGCUGGAUCCGGCACCGAACCGAUUCCCUUGGUGCCGGCUCCGCAUCGGCUCAGCCAGACACCGGGGGAGCUGGAAAAGAUUUGGGCAAAAUUGUCAAAAUUGGGGGGAAAUUUAAGAGUUGGGACGACGUCACCGAGCUCUGCCCGUCGUCAGUGGUCAACGUGAACCGGCCCUUGACCGAUGAUGCAUAG